GCGAGUCGAGAGGGUUCGGCCCUCGGCUGACUGCUCAGUAACACGUGGAUAACUUGCCCUCAGGUAGGGGAUAAUCUCGGGAAACUGAGGAUAAUACCCUAUAAACAUCCUUUGCUGGAAUGCUUGGAUGUUCAAAGGCAACGCCUGAGGAUAGGUCUGCGGCCUAUCAGGUUGUAGUGGGUGUAACGGACCCACUAGCCCGCGACGGGUACGGGCCUUGAAAGAGGUAGCCCGGAGAUGGACUCUGAGACACGAGUCCAGGCCCUACGGGGCGCAGCAGGCGCGAAAACUUCGCAAUGCGGGAAACCGUGACGAGGGAAUUCCGAGUGCUCAUACAAUGUAUGGGCUUUUCUGAUGUGUAAAAAGCAUUAGGAAUAAGGGCUGGGUAAGACCGGUGCCAGCCGCCGCGGUAAUACCGGCAGCUCUAGUGGUAGCCACUUUUAUUGGGCCUAAAGCGUCCGUAGCCGGUCGGGUAAAUCCUUGGGUAAAUCGUACAGCUUAACUGUGCGGCUUCCGGGGAGACUGCCUGACUUGGGACCGGGAGAGGUUGGAGGUACUCCUGGGGUAGGGGUGAAAUCCUGUAAUCCUAGGUGGACCACCGGUGGCGAAGGCGUCCAACCAGAACGGCUCCGACGGUGAGGGACGAAGGCUAGGGGCGCAAACCGGAUUAGAUACCCGGGUAGUCCUAGCUGUAAACGCUGCAGACUUGGUGUUGGAGAUCCCACGAGGGUGUCCAGUGCCGGAGAGAAGUUGUUAAGUUUGCCGCCUGGGAAGUAUGGCCGCAAGGCUGAAACUUAAAGGAAUUGGCGGGA
rnacentral:rRNA from 1 species